rnacentral:other from 3 species
AUAGCCCUGCGAUGUACGUGACUUCCGAAUAGUUUUGAGCCACAAACUCUUUUCAGGGAGUUUGCCGUCCCAAACCGCGAGGACAUGCCUCCGUCGAGUGGACGUCCGGGACGGUUGGGCGAGACACCCACCUGCGCAGCGCAGGUUCAAAACUUCAGGAGCAGCACGGCAUAAUGGGGCUCCU